CUUAUCUAUACCUUCAUCCCCUUUGUACGUAUUAAAAUUCACGCCAUCGUCAGAAUAAGCAAUAGUGUAACUUGUAACACAUUUAUUUGUAUUCCUAUGGCCUUGUGUGAGAAUCUCUGUAACUGUUGCUUUAUAUUUGAAAUCAAUUUGCAGCCACUGGUUGGUGUCUCGUGACCGAGCAACCCAGCAUUUAUUCCCAUGUAAUCUGCCGUAACGUGGACCCCAGUUUGUAUUCCAUCCACUCGAGGCAUUUAUUCUUGAAUUAGGGAUCUUUCCACUCUGCAUUCCUAACGCUUUAGGGUCUUUGCAAGCU